rnacentral:rRNA from 1 species
UACGUAGGUGGCAAGCGUUGUUCGGAAUCACUGGGUGUAAAGGGUGCGUAGGCGGUCCGUUAAGUCUGAUGUGAAAGCCCUGGGCUCAACUCAGGAAUUGCAUUGGAAACUGGCGGGCUGGAGUACGGGAGAGGGAAGCGGAAUUCCUGGUGUAGCGGUGAAAUGCGUAGAUACCAGGAGGAACACCGGUGGCGAAGGCGGUUUCCUGGCCCAGUACUGACGCUGAGGAGCGAAAGCGUGGGGAGCGAACAGG